AUGGGGUUGGAGGAUCCCUGGGCAGGAGCUCAGUGCCCUCUUAGUGUAACGGCAUCAGCAGAUCUGCCUGUGCUUGGGCUUCUGUACUACCCAUUCCUGAGGGGCGAUGCUUCUACAGGGCCUGUGACUUGGUGCACAACUUCAGGCACCAUCAUCCUGCAGCAGCGCCGCACCCUCACCAGCCAGGGUGUUGAUGAUUUCCUCAAGGCCAAGGCCACGUUCAAGGCUUCGGACUUCAUUGAUGCACUUGUGCUGAGCAAGGUGGGCUUCUCCGGGAUCUUAAUUCAGGAGGAUAUGACAGCAGAGCCAGUGGCCUCUACUGGAUCCUGUACAACCUCACGAAACACCCAGACAUCGGGAGUGCUGCCAGCCCAUGAUGAAAGAGUCCUAAUCCUGAAGACAUUGAAUGACAACACUGUUAUUGAUGAGAUCACUCCCAAGCGGAUUGGAGAUUGUCCCAAUACUUACACCUAUAGCAAGGCCUUGAGAGAAGUGGCGGUGCAGCAGGAGAGCAGGAAGCUAACCAUCACCAUCCUAAGGCCCUCCAUUGUGGGAGCAACGUGGCAUGAGCUUUUCCCGCGUUGGGUUGAUAAUCUAAAUGGAUGUAGCUGACUCAUUAUUGUGGCUGGGAAAGGGUUUCUUCUGGCCAUAAAAGCUACUCCAAUGGCUGUGGGAGACUUACUUCCAAUUCCAGUUGAUACAGCCAUCCGUCUCCCACUAGCUGUAGGAUGGUGUACUGCAGUUCACAGACCUAAGUCAAUGUUAGUCUACCACUGUACAUCUGGUAACCUCAAUCCCUGCAAUUGGGGCAAAAUGAGAUUCCAGGUCUUGGCAACCUUUGAAAUUCCAAUUCCAUUUGAGAGAGCUUUGAGGAGGCCGUAUGCUGAUUUCACCACCAGCAACUUCACAACCCAGUACUGGAAUGCCAUCAGCCACCAGGCCCCUGCCAUCAUCUAUGACUUCUAUUUGUGGCUCACUGGAAGGAAACCCAGACUGUUCUAAAAUCAGAAAGGAAAUUCUCCUCCAUGAGCAUGUGUAUGUUUUUGGCUGUUGGAACUUGAGAUGGUGCAAGUAAGUACAAGCACAUUUUCCAGAUAAGUCAUGUGAAGUGAUUUACGUUUCAUAAUAUGAUCAUUUCUGAUUGAUCUUAUCUAUUAUGACCACCCAUAGAGAUGGCUGUAAAGAAUUAAGAACAUCAAACAAUGUCAAGUUGUUCAUUGCAUGUAUUUCAGAACAUUGCCGAGAUAAAGCCAGGUGGAGUCAUUAAUUUCACCAGCUAGUUAUUUCCUUGCUGCAGUACCAAAGAUUGUCAUUUUUGAAUUAAAACCUCUGGUUUUUCUAACUCAUCUUUCAUUGUUGAUCAUGGCAAGUGAAUAAUUAGUGAAUGUAUAUGUUUAGGUUAUGAGGAAUUUAAAACACACCCUAAGAGUUGUAAUGUUGAUUGCUUUUAAAUGUUGUAAUGGUUUUGAGUGUGUCUGCUAAUGAUUUCUUAAUUACAUACUUGCUUUUCUUAGAAAAUCAACUCAUUUCAUUAUUAGUGAUUAAUUUUCUCUCAAAUAUUUAACUUCAUAUUUUAAUAAAUCACUAUGCCUGGGAUUCCAUUAGAUAUUUGAAAAGAUCAAGUUUAAUUUUUUUACCCAGAUAACAUACACAAUGGGUCAAGAUUUGUGUUCUUUGAUCUCACAAUUUAAAAAAAUAUGCAUUAAGCACCAUGGAAAUCCCAGCAACUUCAGCAAGAAAGAGUCUUUGUUCCAUAGUUUCUUUGCUUGAUAAAGAUGUGGAAUAAAAUAAAUGGAAUAUCUUAAUUCAGUUUUUGCUUCAUGAGACUGGUCGAGUGAACAUAGGCCUAGUGCUUUGAAAAUUGGCCUAUUGUAGAAGAUUGAUAUUCUAGUAGCCUAAAGAGAAUCCAUUUCUUAUAAGAAUAUAUAUAUUUUGGAAAAUGUGGUAUUUCUCAGAAAACUGCUGAAAUGAAUUAUGUAUCUUUUCUCUUUAAUUCCAUUACUUUCAAAGAUCUAAAGCUUUCACCUGAAAAUUAGUCUUUUGGAUAAAAAGACAUUGAAACUAGUGUUAAAUUAAUUUCAUUGAGGUAAUGAAUAUGAAGAUUCAUUUGCUGUAAUCUUGGGAUCUUUUAGUUUCUUGUGCUUUUAAAAAUAACACUAUAAUGGUCUAUAUGUGUAUCAGUUUUUACAAUAAUUUGUCUAAACUUUACCUUAUAUCAGUGUGCAUGAAGAACCAAGUGCAGUCUGAAUUAGCACAAUGCAAAUAGAAAACCGACCUUUUAUUUUCCUCACAAAAUUAUAUCUAAUAUAAACCUUAUGUAAAAUAAUUUUUAAGUGCUCGUAAAUUAAUAACAAAAUCAUACAUAAUGUCACUGGAGGAGAAAAAUUAAGGAGUUUAUGUCACAGUAAAAUGCAUUUCUAAAUUGACUUAGUAUUGUUAUAAAACAUAUUCUUGAAUAUUAUAUCAGAAUUUAUCACCACUAGUGAAGUCAAAAUAAAGAUGGAUCUCU